rnacentral:rRNA from 1 species
UAGUGAGUUUGAUCCUGGCUCAGGACGAACGCUGGCGGCGUGCCUAAUACAUGCAAGUCGAGCGCAGGAAGCUCACGGAACCCUUCGGGGGGAAGCGCACGGAAUGAGCGGCGGACGGGUGAGUAACACGUAAGGAACCUGCCCCAAGGAUUGGGAUAACUCCGAGAAAUCGGAGCUAAUACCGAAUAGUUCUUCAGACCGCAUGGUCUGAUGAUGAAAGGCGCUUCGGCGUCACCUUGGGAUGGCCUUGCGGUGCAUUAGCUAGUUGGUGGGGUAAUGGCCCACCAAGGCGACGAUGCAUACGCCGACCUGAGAGGGGUGAUCGGCCACGACUGGGGACUGAGACACGGCCCAGACUCCGUACGGGAGGCAGCAGUUA